rnacentral:rRNA from 1 species
AGUGAACGCUGGCGGUAGGCCUAACACAUGCAAGUCGAACGGCAGCACAGUAAGAGCUUGCUCUUACGGGUGGCGAGUGGCGGACGGGUGAGGAAUACAUCGGAAUCUACUUUUUCGUGGGGGAUAACGUAGGGAAACUUACGCUAAUACCGCAUACGACCUACGGGUGAAAGCAGGGGAUCUUCGGACCUUGCGCGAUUGAAUGAGCCGAUGUCGGAUUAGCUAGUUGGCGGGGUAAAGGCCCACCAAGGCGACGAUCCGUAGCUGGUCUGAGAGGAUGGUCAGCCACACUGGAACUGAGACACGGUCCAGACUCCUACGGGAGGCAGCAGUGGGGAAUAUUGUACAAUGGGCGCAAGCCUGAUCCAGCCAUACCGCGUGGGUGAAGAAGGCCUUCGGGUUGUAGAGCCCUUUUGUUGGGAAAGAAAAGCAGCAGGUUAAUACCCCGCUGUUCUGACGGUACCCAAAGAAUAAGCACCGGCUAACUUCGUG